AAAAUGUAGUAUUCGUUUGCUUUCAUUUAUUUCUUAACCCUUUUAUACGAUGUGACAAGUCAACUGUACUACCAUUUAUUUUCCAGAAGAAUAAGGCUUAUUUAUAUAUAUCGAGGAUCCGAAUGGUGACUGCGUUUUGCGGUGCGGGAAAAAUGCGGUGCGGUUCAAAUAAUAACGAAAAUACAUAAAUACAUAUAUCUAUAUAUAGAUUUUGAUAUUAUUACAGCAUUGUUGCAUUGCGGUUUUAGGUGCGGUUUAUAUCAUCAUUUAUGACCUGAAUUACAAAACAAAUUUUGGUCCUUAUAAAACAAAUUU
rnacentral:sRNA from 1 species